rnacentral:rRNA from 1 species
AGGAUAAUCCCGGGAAACUGGGGGUAAUACUCCAUAGUUCGUGCUGACUGGAACUGUUAUGCGAACGAAAGAUCCGUUACUCAGCUUCAGGAUGAGUCUGCGGCCGAUUAGGCUAGUUGUUGGGGUAACGGCCCAACACAAGCCAUGUCAUCGGUACGGGUUGUGGGAGCAAGAGCCCGGAGAUGGAUUCUGAGACACGAAUCCCAGGCCCUACGGGGCGCAGCAGGCGCGACUUUACCAUGCGGGCAACCGUGAUAAGGAAACCCCGAGUGCCAGCACAGGCUGGCUGUCCACCAGUGUAAAUAACUGGUGAAGAAAGGGCCGGGCAAGACCGGUGCCAGCCGCCGCGGUAAUACCGGCGGCUCGAGUGGUGGCCGCUAUUACUGGGCUUAAAGGGUCCGUAGCUGGAUAUACAAGUCCCUUGAGAAAUCCGCCGGCUUAACCGGUGGGCGUUCAGGGGAAACUGUAUUUCUAGGGACCGGGAGAGGUGAGAGGUACUGCCGGGGUAGGAGUGAAAUCCUGUAAUCCCGGUGGGACCACCUAUGGCGAAGGCAUCUCACCAGAACGGGUCCGACAGUGAGGGACGAAAGCUGGGGGAGCAAACCGGAUUAGAUACCCGGGUAGUCCCAGCUGUAAACGAUGCGCGUUAGGUGUGUCAGUGACCACGUGUCACUGAGGUGCCGAAGGGAAACCGUGAAACGCGCCGCCUGGGGAGUACGGUCGCAAGGCUGAAACUUAAAGGAAUUGGCGGGGGAGCACCACAACGGGUGGAGCCUGCGGUUUAAUCGGACUCAACGCCGGAAAUCUCACCGGAUAAGACAGCUGAAUGAUAGUCGGGAUGAAGACUCUACUUGACUAGCUGAGAGGAGGUGCAUGGCCGUCGUCAGUUCGUACUGUGAAGCAUCCUGUUUAGUCAGGCAACGAGCGAGACCCACGCGAGCAGUUGCCAGCUUGACCUUCGGGUUGAUGGGGACACUGCUCGGACCGCCUCUGCUAAAGGGGAGGAAGGAAUGGGCAACGGUAGGUCAGCAUGCCCCGAAUUAUCCGGGCUACACGCGGGCUACAAUGGACAGGACAAUGGGUUUCGACACC